AUUGGAUCAAAAAAUUUGGAAAGAUUGUGCUUCUAUUUGUAACUUUUCGGAACCUUUAGUUCGUGUGCUCAGAAUUGUUGAUAGUGAUGAAAGGCCAGCAAUGGGAUAUGUAUUUGGAGCAUUACAUUGUGCAGUAGAGGAGAUUGAGAAGAGGUUUCAGAAAAAGAAGAGAGCAAUCCAGCAACCUGUACUUAAAGCUAUAGAGGAGAGGUGGGAUAAGCACUUAAACAAAAAUCUGCACGCAGCUGGCUUUUGGUUUAACCCAACCAAUCAAUAUGAUGAAGAGCUUAUGUCAAAGUACCACACCACUACUUCUGGGGUUAUAGAUGUUAUUGAGAGAUAUGCAGCAAAAGAUCCAGCAUUGCGCAAGGCUUUGACAGCAGAGAUGAGGAUUUUCAGAGGGGCGGAAGGAGAUUUUGGUCGAGUGACUGCUAUUGCUGAUAGAGAUACAAUGCUUCCUGAUGAAUGGUGGUUGACUUAUGGAUGUAGUGCUCCAAAUUUGCAAAAGCUUGCAAUUCGUGUCUUAAGCCAAACUUGUAGUGCUUCCGGUUGUGAGAGAAAUUGGAGUUUGUUUGAGCACAUACAUUCCAAAAAGAGAAACUGACUUGAGCAUCAAGUGAUGAAUGAUAUGGCUUAUGUUCAAUGCAACUCUAGGCUGCAACAAAAGUCCCAACUCUCGAAACGAAACUAUGACCCAAUUUGUUUGGAGGACAUUGGCAAGUUUGCUGAAGAUUGGAUUCUUGAAGAUGAUCCCCAAGUGUUAAAUGUGGAAGAAAUUGAGAGAUAUAGAAAAGGUUUGGUGCCAAAUGACAAAGAGAUAUGCAAUGCCAUUGCCA